UUUACAUUUCGCUUUUUUGGGUAAGAUCAAAGUGUAGUAUCUGUCUUACCAGUCUUGUUUUUGGUACGGCUUCCAUUUUUGGGAUCCAAAGAAUUAAACUGAUAUUGAUGAAAUGAAGGCAUU
rnacentral:snRNA from 1 species